rnacentral:rRNA from 1 species
CCUACGGGGAGCAGCAGUCGAGAAUCAUUCACAAUGGGGGAAACCCUGAUGGUGCGACGCAGCGUGGGGGAAUGAAGUUCUUCGGAUUGUAAACCCCUGUCAUGUGGGAGCAAAUUAAAAAGAUAGUACCACAAGAGGAAGAGACGGCUAACUCUGUGACAGCAGCCGCGGUAAUACAGAGGUCUCAAGCGUUGUUCGGAAUCACUGGGCGUAAAGCGUGCGUAGGCUGUUUCGUAAGUCGUGUGUGAAAGGCGAGGGCUCAACCCGCGGACGGCACAUGAUACUGCGAGCCUAGAGUAAUGGAGGGGGUACCGGAAUUCUCGGUGUAGCAGUGAAAUGCGUAGAUAUCGAGAGGAACACUCGUGGCGAAGGCGGGUUCCUGGACAUUAACUGACGCUGAGGCACGAAGGCCAGGGGAGCGAAAGGGAUUAGAUACCCCAGUAGUC